AAGGGUGUGCCGUAGCAGCGGCCUCCCAUCCGCGGGGAAGAAGACCUCCCUGCGGGCCUUCACCUGCUCCAACAAGAUCUCCACGGCCGCGUCGCUGAACCGCGCAGCUUUGGGUUGAGCCAUCCCCCGUGUACAGGGUCUGUCUUUAUCCUGGAUUACAAGCAUCUGCAGUUUUUCUCAUCCCAACAAAACAUCGAAGCUUGACAUGAAAGGAUAAAACUGAAGAUGCACCAAGGACAGACUUUUACUGGCCUUCACCUUUCAACCCACCAGCCUCCGCAUCCGGCACCUCAUCCUCCGACAUAUCAUCACCUUCAACGUUAACCCUUGCAACCAUAGGAGAUGCAGCACCUGUCCUUAUAUGUAUUCGCUUGACUCCAUCCAGGGAACCUAACAGUCUUUCCAGAUGCACCAAGGACAGACUUUUACUGGCCUUCACCUUUCAACCCACCAGCCUCCGCAUUCGGCACCUCAUCCUCCGACAUAUCAUCACCUUCAACGUUAACCCUUGCAACCAUAGGAGAUGCAGCACCUGUCCUUAUAUGUAUUCGCUUGACUCCAUCCAGGGAACCUAACAGUCUCUGCCAAGGACAAGAAGGCUCUGCAGAGAGUAGUGCGUUCGGCCGAACGCACUAUGGGAACUUCACUCACCCCCCUGCAGGAACUAUACAACAGGAGGUGCAACUCCAGAGCAAACAAAAUCAUGAGAGACCUCUUCCACCCCUGCAACGGACUGUUCCAGCCGCUACGGUCAGGCAAACGCCUCCGUUGCCAUGCAGUGAGAACGGAGAGGUUGAGAAGGAGUUUCUUCCCAGAGGCAAUUCGGACUGUAAACGCCUUUCUCACCAGGGACUAACUGUACAGAACGUUUUUUCCUUCUAUUAUUUAUUAUGUAAAAUAAUAUGUGUGUUAUGAUUGUGUUUAUAAUUUGUUUGGUUGUUUUGUUGUUCCGCGAGCAUUGCCACUUUCAUUUCACUGCACAUCUCGUAUGUGUAUGUGACAAAUAAACUUGACUUGACUUGACUUGACUUGACUUUCCAGGUGAGAAAGGCAUUCAUGUACACUUACGCUUGGUCCACCAAGGCCAACUGGAUCUCCUAUUUGUUAAUCAUGUAAACUCCGGUUCCCAUUCCUUCUCUGCCCUUUCUAUCCGGAGCAACAAUUGAUAUAUCAGUGAAUCUUGCUGCCUGUGGUAAUAUGUUGUUGGCCCUGAUUUGUCCUGGUAUUUUUCUUGCUUCCUGUCUCUCCCCCUAUAAUUAGUCUAGAGAAGUGCCAUGACCCAAUACGUCACCUAUCCAUUUUCUCAGUAUGCUGCCUGACCCACUGAGUUUCUCCAGCAUUUUGUGUCUAUCCAUUUUGUCCAAUCUCUCCUUGUAACUAAAAUGUUCCAAUCCAGGCAACAUCCUGGUGAAUUUCCACAGUACUCUCCAAUGCCAUCCCAUUCUUCCUGUUGUGUGCUCAGCAAAACUCUGCAUUCAAGUUCAACUGUUGCAUAACCAAUGUUUUCUAGUUAUAAUAUGAUGUCCCUGCCCUAUUUGUCUAUGCAAAACCUGGUGAAGAUAUGUAUCCCAGAUAAUCACCACCCUGUCCACCUGAGGGAUCAUUUGAUCUGAUUGCAAGCAUUAUGGUGUCUUAUGGCUAUUGGCAAGAGCACUCCACGAGAAAUGACAUAGAAUUUAACUAUGACAUGUGUGAGGUGAAGUAUUUUCUUAAGGCAAACCAGGGUGAGAUUUAUACUGAAUUGGUUCCGAAAAGGCGAGACAUCUACAAUAAUUAUAGGCCAUCUCGCUAGACGCUGAGAAAGCAUUCGACCAAGUGGAAUGGUCCUAUUUAUUUUUGGUGAUGGAAAAAUUUCAACUGGGUGAGAAGUUCUGCAAAUGGGUUAAGUUAUUAUAUACCAAUCCAACAACUAGAAUAAUGACAAAUCAAAUGCUAUCAUCAAAAUUCGAUUUAUCUAAAGGUUGCAGACAAGGAUGUCCAUUAUCUCCGUUAUUAUUCGCCCUUGCUAUUGAACCACUUGCAGAAAGUGUUCGAGCACAUCCAGAAAUAUAUGGAUAUAAUACUAAAAACACAGUUAAUAAAAUCUCUUUAUAUUCAGACGAUGUAUUACUAUAUAUUACAAACCCAGAUAUCAGCAUUCCAAACUUCAAAUCUUAUAACUCAAUUUGGUUUAUUUUCGGGAUUUAGAAUUAAUUGGAAUAAAAUUGAAAUUAUGCCAAUAACGGAACCUAAGUUAUUCAUAUUGCAACAAUCACCUUUCAGAAUAGUAAAUGAAAAAUUUAAAUACCUAGGAACUUAUGUGACCAAGAAAUAUACUUCUUUAUUUAAAUCAAAUUUUACUUAAUAAACUGCAUAAGAAUAUUCAAUACUGGAAAACACUACUCAUUUCAAUGCUCGGCAAAAUGAACGCUAUAAAAAUGAUUUUCCUUCCGCAUUUGCUAUACCUUUUUCAAUCAAUUCCUAUAUACUGUACAUCCCAAAUUUUUUUUUUAAAAGUUGACUGUAUAGUGACAAGUUUUAUUUGGAAUUAUAAGAACCAUAGAAUAAGUAAAAAACACUGAUGCAAAUCUAAGACCAAAGGAGGAUUAGUUUUACCAAUUUUUUAAUUUUACUUUUGGGCAGUCAAUGUCAAAAAUAUGAACUUUGGGUUGGAAGAUAUGGAUCAACAACCAGACUGGUUAAAGAUGGAAAAGGAAGACUGUCUGCCUUUUGAAAUUGGUCCGAUUCUGUUAGCUCCCACAAAACCGAAUAAAAAAAUCUAUAGUGAAAACCCUAUAAUAUAUAGUGAUAUUCGAAUUUUGGAAGCAAUUAAAAAAUACAUUAAAAUUGGAUAAUUUAUCACUUUCUCUCCCCAUUGCAAAUAAUCCCUCAAUGUUGGACAAAGGGUUUGCACAAUGGAAAAAUCAUGGAAUUAAAAAUAUGGGACAUCUUUAUAGAAAUGGUAUUUUGCUCUCGUUUCAGAAUUCAGAAACAUUCAAAUAUUUUUUUUACAACUUAAAGAUUAUAUUAAAACACAUACACAAGAACACAGAACUAGAAAACUAGAUAUUCUAGAUGAAUGUUUGAAUAAACACCCUAACACAGUCAAAUUAAUAUCUCACGUUUAUAACAUAUUAUUAGACAGUGAGAAUCCGCCAACGGAAUUAUAUAGACAAGCAUGGGGAAAGGAAUUAGCUCAACCUAUAACUAAAGAUAUUUGGGACGAAAGCCUACAACAUAUACACCAAUGUUCGUUAAAUACCAGACAUUCUUUAAUACAAUUUAAAGUAGUACAUAGACUGCAUUAUUCUAAAACAAAAUUAAAUAGAAUGUUUCCUAAUAUCUCUCCUAGCUGUGAUAAAUGUCAAUACCACGUGGCUAAUUUAACCCAUACUUUUGUAAACUGUAUUAAAAUUAACAUUAAAAGAUAUUUUCUUUCUUUUAAAAUCUUUUUAUUGGGUUUUUUAUCCCAAAAAAAGCUAAAAUAAAACAUUAAAAAACAGAGCAGAAAGAAUAAUGAUAAACAAAACAAUGGUACUGAUACAUAGGGAUCAGGAUUACAUUAUUAACAGGUAUAACCUAAUAUGAGACCAGUGUCAAAAUACACAAUGAAUAUAGACCUCCCGACUCUAUGUAAAUAUAGUUAAAUCUUUAAAAGGAAACAUAAAUGUAAAAAAAACCACAAAGAUAAAAAGACAAAAAGAAAAAGAAAAAAGGAAAAACAAAACAAAACCCCCCUAACUAAAGAAAGAAAAAAAAGAGAAAAAUUGAUAAUAUUAAAAUACGCAUAAAAAUAAAAUAGAUUAAAAAACAAAGCAAAGCAAAACCGAAUCUGAACUGAGAAUUUCAACAAUGUAAGUGUGUUUGUCGUCAAGUCCGUUCCACCCUAUAGAGGUAAAAUAAUUUUUAUAACGGUUAAAGACGGAGCAAUUUAUGUUGUAUGAAAAUGUUCAAUAAAUUUUCCCCAAGUCUUAUAAAAUUUAACCACGGGUUCAACAGUUCAACAGUGUCACUCCUGAUUGUUUUCUAAAUUUAAACAUGAUAUCGUUUCCGAAUACCAAUGGAGUGUGGUCGGAGGAUUGGAGUCUUUCCAUUUAAAUAAAAUAGAUCUUCUGGCGAUUAAUGUGGUAAAAGCAAUCAACCGAUGGGCGGAGCGGGACAAAUGAAUAGAAUCUAACAUUGGUAGCCCAAAAAUUGCAGUAAUAGGAUGAGGUUGUGAUGAAGCCAAAUUUUAGUUAAAAAUAUAAGAAGAUAUUAAAUUGGCUUCUGGGCUAACUUACAGCUUAUAUUUAGUCUCAAAUUAGGCUUGUCUCAGGUUGCAGGUGUGUGAGAUAAUAAAUACUAUAACAUUGUCUCCCAAGUGACAAGCAGAGAAGGAGCUAGAUAGAUCUCUUUGAUGUAAGAUGUCAUAAAUCAAAUGGCCAAUGUUUAUGAGGGACGAGGUGACAGAGAGGAAGCAGCGAAAGAGCUAGGGUGAUCUCUUUGAAGAUAAAAUGUCGUAAACCAAAUGGCCAAUGUUAUCUUGUACCAUGUGACAAAAUGCCUUUGAUGUGAUGCAUUCUGUAGAAACCUUUUCCUGUACCUCUGGCCAUGACUAAUGUCUGUGCAAUGUGCUAAGGGGACAAAAAAAUCCUAUUUAGUGCAAUGUAAUUUUGUUGUUCAGAGAAGUGGACUGAGGAUGGUCAAGUGUCUACAUUGGUCACUUGACUGGAGUUCUCCCUCCCUUCCAUCGGCCGAUAAUAAGUAAAGUUUUGAACUGGUCUACCAAA